GACGAACGCUGGCGGCGUGCCUAAUACAUGCAAGUUGAGCGCUGAAGGUUGGUACUUGUACCAACUGGAUGAGCAGCGAACGGGUGAGUAACGCGUGGGGAAUCUGCCUUUGAGCGGGGGACAACAUUUGGAAACGAAUGCUAAUACCGCAUAAAAACUUUAAACACAAGUUUUAAGUUUGAAAGAUGCAAUUGCAUCACUCAAAGAUGAUCCCGCGUUGUAUUAGCUAGUUGGUGAGGUAAAGGCUCACCAAGGCGAUGAUACAUAGCCGACCUGAGAGGGUGAUCGGCCACAUUGGGACUGGGGCACGGCCCAAACUCCUACGGGAGGCAGCAGUAGGGAAUCUUCGGCAAUGGACGAAAGUCUGACCGAGCAACGCCGCGUGAGUGAAGGAGGUUUUCGGAUCGUAAAACUCUGUUGGUAGAGAAGAACGUUGGUGAGAGUGGAAAGCUCAUCAAGUGACGGUAACUACCCAGAAAGGGACGGCUAACUACGUG
rnacentral:rRNA from 1 species